rnacentral:rRNA from 1 species
GACGAACGCUGGCGGCGUGCUUAACACAUGCAAGUCGAACGUGAUUUUUAUGGAAAGCCCUUCGGGGACGGAAGUAAAAUGAAAGUGGCGAACGGGUGAGUAACACGUGAGCAACCUACCUUACACAGGGGGAUAGCCGUUGGAAACGACGAUUAAUACCGCAUGAGACCACAAAGCCACAUGGCUUAGGGGUAAAAGAUUUAUCGGUGUAAGAUGGGCUCGCGUCUGAUUAGCUAGUUGGAAGGGUAAAGGCCUACCAAGGCGACGAUCAGUAGCCGGUCUGAGAGGAUGAACGGCCACAUUGGAACUGAGACACGGUCCAAACUCCUACGGGAGGCAGCAGUGGGGAAUAUUGCACAAUGGGGGGAACCCUGAUGCAGCGACGCCGCGUGAGCGAAGAAGGUUUUCGAAUCGUAAAGCUCUGUCCUAUGAGAAGAUAAUGACGGUAUCAUAGGAGGAAGCCCCGGCUAAAUACGUGCCAGCAGCCGCGGUAAUACGUAUGGGGCGAGCGUUGUCCGGAAUUAUUGGGCGUAAAGGGUACGUAGGCGGCCUUUUAAGUCAGGUGUGAAAGCGUGAGGCUUAACCUCAUUAAGCACUUGAAACUGGAAGGCUUGAGUGAAGGAGAGGAAAGUGGAAUUCCUAGUGUAGCGGUGAAAUGCGUAGAUAUUAGGAGGAAUACCGGUGGCGAAGGCGACUUUCUGGACUUUUACUGACGCUCAGGUACGAAAGCGUGGGGAGCAAACAGG